rnacentral:rRNA from 1 species
AUGAACGCUAGCGGCAGGCCUAAUACAUGCAAGUCGGACGGGAUUGCGGAGCUUGCUCCGCAUGAGAGUGGCGCACGGGUGCGUAACACGUAUGUAACCUACCUUCGUCAGGGGGAUAGCCUCUCGAAAGAGAGAUUAAGACCGCAUAACAUUGUUUUGUGGCAUCACAGGAUAAUCAAAUAUUUAUAGGACGAAGAUGGGCAUGCGGAACAUUAGCUAGUUGGUGAGGUAACGGCUCACCAAGGCUACGAUGUUUAGGGGAUCUGAGAGGAUGACCCCCCACACUGGUACUGAGACACGGACCAGACUCCUACGGGAGGCAGCAGUAAGGAAUAUUGGUCAAUGGGCGGAAGCCUGGACCAGCCAUGCCGCGUGCAGGAAGACGGCCCUAUGGGUUGUAAACUGCUUUUACAGGGGAAUAAACCUUCGUUCGUGAACGAAGCUGAAUGUACUCUGAGAAUAAGGAUCGGCUAACUCCGUGCCAGCAGCCGCGGUAAUACGGAGGAUCCGAGCGUUAUCCGGAUUUAUUGGGUUUAAAGGGUGCGUAGGUGGCCUGUUAAGUCAGGGGUGAAAGACGGUAGCCCAACUAUCGCAGUGCCCUUGAUACUGAUGGGCUUGAAUGAACUAGAGGUAGGCGGAAUGUGACAAGUAGCGGUGAAAUGCAUAGAUAUGUCACAGAACACCAAUUGCGAAGGCAGCUUACUAUGGUUUUAUUGACACUGAGGCACGAAAGCGUGGGGAUCAAACAGGAUUAGAUACCCUGGUAGUCCACGCCCUAAACGAUGAAUACUCGAUGUUGGCGAUAUACGGUCAGCGUCUAAGCGAAAGCGUUAAGUAUUCCACCUGGGGAGUACGCCCGCAAGGGUGAAACUCAAAGGAAUUGACGGGGGCCCGCACAAGCGGAGGAGCAUGUGGUUUAAUUCGAUGAUACGCGAGGAACCUUACCCGGGCUUGAAAGUUAGUGAAUGUGGCAGAGACGCCACAGCUCUUCGGAGCACGAAACUAGGUGCUGCAUGGCUGUCGUCAGCUCGUGCCGUGAGGUGUUGGGUUAAGUCCCGCAACGAGCGCAACCCCUAUGUUUAGUUGCCAGCAUUUUAGGUGGGGACUCUAAACAGACUGCCUAUGCAAAUAGAGAGGAAGGAGGGGACGACGUCAAGUCAUCAUGGCCCUUACGUCCGGGGCUACACACGUGCUACAAUGGUUGGUACAGAGGGCAGCUACCUGGUAACAGGAUGCCAAUCUCCAAAAGCCAAUCACAGUUCGGAUCGGGGUCUGCAACUCGACCCCGUGAAGUUGGAUUCGCUAGUAAUCGCAGAUCAGCAAUGCUGCGGUGAAUACGUUCCCGGGCCUUGUACACACCGCCCGUCACACCAUGGGAGUUGGUCUUACCCGAAGCCGGUCAUGCUAACCCGAGAGGGGGGCAGCCGACCACGGUAAGG